UACAGAGGUCCCGAGCGUUGUUCGGAUUUAUUGGGCGUAAAGGGCUCGUAGGCGGUCUGUCACGUCGAAAGUGAAAACUCAGGGCUUAACCCUGAGCCUGCUUCCGAUACGGGCAGACUAGAGGUAUGCAGGGGAGAACGGAAUUCCUGGUGUAGCGGUGAAAUGCGCAGAUAUCAGGAGGAACACCGGUGGCGAAGGCGGUUCUCUGGGCAUUACCUGACGCUGAGGAGCGAAAGUGUGGGGAGCGAACAGG
rnacentral:rRNA from 1 species